rnacentral:pre_miRNA from 1 species
CUUUUUCAUGGUAUGGACCUGGUUUGUUGAUUCUAAAUAUUUUUCAGUAUUUAAGGUUAGAUACCAAAAAUAUUUAGAAUCAACAAACUCUGGCUCUAUAUUAUGAUAAUG